GGUCGGGUGGUGUAGUUGGUUAUCACAUCUCGUUAACAGUUCACUGUGACACAUUCCGAGAAGGUCCUGGGAUCGAGCCCCAGCCUGAUCA
rnacentral:tRNA from 1 species